rnacentral:rRNA from 1 species
GAUGAACGCUAGCGGCAGGCCUAAUACAUGCAAGUCGAACGGUGUCUUCGGACAUAGUGGCGCACGGGUGCGUAACACGUAUGCAACCUACCUUACAUUGGGGGAUAGCCUUUCGAAAGGGAGAUUAAUACCGCAUAAGACAGUAGCUGGGCAUCCAGCAGCUGUUAACGAUUUAUCGAUGUAAGCUGGGCAUGCGUCCAAUUAGCUAGUUGGUGAGGUAACGGCUCACCAAGGCAAUGAUUGGUAGGUGAACUGAGAGGUCAAUCCCCCACACUGGCACUGAGAUACGGGCCAGACUCCUACGGGAGGCAGCAGUAGGGAAUAUUGGGCAAUGGACGCAAGUCUGACCAGCCAUGCCGCGUGCAGGAUGAAGGCGUUAUGCGUUGUAAACUGCUUUUAUACAGGAAGAAACGACUCUUGCGAGAGGCAUUGACGGUACUGUAUGAAUAAGCACCGGCUAACUCCGUGCCAGCCGCCGCAGUAACAC